UCUUCUUCAACGGCCGCGGUAUCCUAACCGUGCAAAGGUAGCGCAAUCACUUGCCCCUUAAAUGAGGGCUAGUAUGAACGGUUUAAUGAGGGCCCAACUGUCUCCUGCAGCCAAUUAAUGAAAUUGAUGACUCAGUACAAACGCUGAGAUAUAAACACAAGACGAGAAGACCCUGUGGAACUUUAAACAUUCCUGCUAGCAACCACCACCACAUCUGCCACCCUAACAGUCAGUUUAAGUUGGGGCAACUACGGAGUACAGUCAAACCUCCACGAAACACAAGUAACACUUGUUAUUAAGGCCCACACGCCACCACAUCAAAGUUUGAUCCAGUAAAACUGAUUUACGGACCAAGCUACCCCAGGGAUAACAGCGCUAUCCCCUUCAAGAGUUCCUAUCGCCAAGGGGGUUUACGACCUCGAUGUUGGAUCAGGACACCCCGGUGGUGCAGCCGCUGCCAAAGGUUCGUUUGUUCAACGAGUAAUGUCCUACGUGA
rnacentral:rRNA from 1 species